GAUGAACGCUGGCGGCGUGCCUAAUACAUGCAAGUCGAGCGAACAGACGAGGAGCUUGCUCCUCUGACGUUAGCGGCGGACGGGUGAGUAACACGUGGAUAACCUACCUAUAAGAAUGGGAUAACUUCGGGAAACCGGAGCUAAUACCGGAUAAUAUAUUGCACCGCAUGGUUCAAUAGUGAAAGACGGUUUUGCUGUCACUUAUAGAUGGAUCCGCGCCGCAUUAGCUAGUUGGUAAGGUAACGGCUUACCAAGGCAACGAUGCGUAGCCGACCUGAGAGGGUGGUCAGCCACACUGGAACUGAGACACGGUCCAGACUCCUACGGGAGGGAGCAGUAGGGAAUCUUCCGCAAUGGGCGAAAGCCUGACGGAGCAACGCCGCGUGGGUGAUGAAGGUCUUCGGAUCGUAAAACUCUGUUAUUAGGGUAUAACAAAUGUGUAAGUAACUAUGCACGUCUUGACGGUACCUAAUCAGAAAGCCCCGGCUAACUACGUG
rnacentral:rRNA from 1 species